CCACACACUUACCGGUUUGCCCCAGCCGAAAAAUUCCCCACUCCUAUUCGCCCCGAGCCCCCCGACAAAACUUGAGGCGACGGCAGGCGAACCCUAGCGCCGCCGCCGCCCCACCUCUGCCACAUCGUUUCCGCCAAACCCUCCUCAUCCUUCUCCGCCAACUCCUUCUCGUUAUCCUCCACCCCUAGGGGACCUCAGCUCCGUCGGGCGAACCCUGUUCAUCGGUCGCUGCCGACUCUGCCUUCGGUGGCCGCCACUUCCGCCCUUCGCCGAUCGCGGCCGACUCUGCCUUAGGUCGCCGCCAAUUCCGCUGUUCUUCGGCCGCCUGCACACCCUUGCAGCCACCGGCCGCCGCUCCGAGGACCGCGUCGUCUUCAAGCGCUUCUCCAAGCCCAAGUGCUAGGCCCAUCUUCAUUUACUCCUCGACGUGCGGCCCCGUCGUCGCGUCGCCGUCCCGUCACCACCGCCUCUCCUAGCGGCCGACUCUGCCUUCUGUUGCCGCCACCUCCUCUGUACGUCGGGCGCCUGCUCACCCUUGCCGACACCGGCCGCAGCUCUGAGGACCGCAUUGUCUUCAAGCGCUUGUGCAAGCCCACGUGCUAGGCCCAUCUUCGUUUACUCCUCGCCGUGCGGCCCCGUCUUGUCGCUGCCGCCUCUCCUUGCGGCCGUGUCCUUCCGAGCCAUCCUGUUGCCGUCCCAUACUUAGUCCAGCACAGCUUGCCGUCACAUCGACCGUUUGUAAGCGCUUCAGGCUCAAGGUCCUCCGGUCCCACCCCUUGAUGGGGACCACGGCUAUAUUUGUCAUUGGGCGCCCGUCGUAAAGCAUUGCUGUGGGUCUGUGUUCUAUAUUACGUUUGAGCCUAGACUUGAUGAGAUGAAAUCUAUAAAAGAAAGAGUUAAAGAAGUCCGCACGGUGCCUGUUAGUGAUCAGAUAGAAUGUGCUCGACGCUCUUAUGUUUGCAAUGGGUAUGUCGCCCGGGCCCAAGAUGAUAGCUUGCUUAUUCUGACGUGCGCACACAUACUGCAGCAUGUAUUUAGUGGUUCCAAACCAAUCACAGCUCGGGAAGUCAAUAGCUUGUUGUCAGUUACAGCACUUUGUUUCCACCAUGAUAUUGAUUUUCAGAACUAUGGUUACAUUGGUGAAAGGGCACCUGCUCGAGCCUGGGUCUUGGCGAUCAAUUGCAAAUCUUACUUGUUUCUACUUCGGGUGUGGAAAGCAGAUAUUAGUGCAGCCACUGGUGGGGGGCGUUGUCAGAGAAUACAUCGUCCAUUGAUAGUUAGACCCGAUACAACAUUAGUAGGAGAGAUAUGUUGUUUCUUAUCUUGGCUGCAUCUUUUGCCGGCAAUUUUUGCUGCGGGACACGUUGGUGUGCUCAGACGGAUCACGGAAAUGAGUUUUAAUCAAUAUCGAUAUGAUGUGAAUCUGUUGGAGGCCAACAUUGAGAGUGACGACGGUGCAUCUAGGGCUCCUUUGCUUGAUGGCCAAAGCUACGUGAUCGGUCUAUUACAUAGGGCCGCCGGCGGGAAGCAUUCUUAUUUGGUCUCUCGAUCGACAAUUUCAAAAUUUCUGAGCGAGCAUAUUUAGUUGGUUCUUCUCUUCUUGCAUACCUACGCUGCAGUUCUCUAAAGGCAAACUUGGAAUCAAGUUCAAGCCAGUCUUGAAGUUUCCACCUUGUCACAAGGAUGUGGGUUUCUGGAUUAGUGAUGAAUGUACAGAAAACAAUCUAUGUGUGUUUGUUAGAGGAAUUGCUGGAGAUCUUGUAGAGGAGGUACCAUCUGAUGGUCCAUCCAGAGUUUAAGGAUGCAAGGGUUGCAUGCGACUUCAAAGAGUCAUACUUUGCUGUACAGUAGCCAGGAUUGAAUUGCUUUGACGAACCUCGUAUGGCUAAAUGGUUGAAUUGUGAUAGGAACUACAUACGGCUAAAAUGGUUGAAAUGUGGUGGUAACUGGUGGUAUGUAUAUGUCCCCUCCGAGGUUAACUUCGGCACUUUGGAGAUAUAUCCGAUAUGCUUGUUAUGUUCCAACACCGUAUGAACUAGACGGUUAUGUGUGCAUUUUGGAGAUAUAUCCGAUAUGCUUGUUAUGUUCCAA